rnacentral:rRNA from 1 species
UAGUCCACGCCCUAAACGAUGAUUGCUAAACGUUGCAGACGAAUAAUUUGCAGUGUUGAAGCUAACGCGAUAAGCAAUCCGCCUGAGAACUACGGUCGCAAGACUAAAACUCAAAGGAAUUGACGGGGACCCGCACAAGCGGUGGAGCAUGUGGUUUAAUUCGAUAAUCCGCGAAAAACCUUACCAGCUCUUGACAUGGAGAUCAUCGAUUUGAGAGAUCAAAUUUUCGGUUCGGCCGGAUCUCGCACAAGUGGUGCAUGGCUGUCGUCAGCUCGUGUCGUGAGAUGUUGGGUUAAGUCCUUUAACGGGCGCAACCCCUAUCUUCAGUUGCUAACAGGUUAUGCUGAGAACUUUGGAGAGACUGCCAGUGACAAACUGGAGGAAGGUGGGGAUGAUGUCAAGUCCUCAUGCCCUAUAUGAGCUGGGCUACACACGUGCUACAAUGGCGGCCACAACGGGUAGCAAAGGGGCAACCCUGAGCCAAUCCUUCAAAACG